CCUACGGGUGGCUGCAGUGGGGAAUAUUGGACAAUGGGGGGAACCCUGAUCCAGCCAUGCCGCGUGUGUGAAGAAGGCCCUCGGGUUGUAAAGCACUUUCAGUGAGGAAGAACGCCUGGUGGUUAAUACCCAUCAGGAAAGACAUCACUCACAGAAGAAGCACCGGCUAACUCCGUGCCAGCAGCCGCGGUAAUACGGAGGGUGCGAGCGUUAAUCGGAAUUACUGGGCGUAAAGCGCGCGUAGGUGGCUUGAUAAGCCGGUUGUGAAAGCCCCGGGCUCAACCUGGGAACGGCAUCCGGAACUGUCAAGCUAGAGUGCACGAGAGGAAGGUAGAAUUCCCGGUGUAGCGGUGAAAUGCGUAGAGAUCGGGAGGAAUACCAGUGGCGAAGGCGGCCUUCUGGACUGACACUGACACUGAGGUGCGAAAGCGUGGGUAGCAAACAGGAUUAGAUACCCCUGUAGUC
rnacentral:rRNA from 1 species